rnacentral:sRNA from 1 species
AUCUAAACCCGAUUGCCGGGAAGAGCUUACGAUCCUUCAUCGUAACUCGAACCAAAAAGCGGGACUGAAA